UUAGGAACAAGGCAGACUUCUGCCUCUAGCAUUAACUUGAUAUGAUGGGUCUAGAAGAUGCUAGAAAACCCUACUUCUGAAGUGCAGCAAGAUGGGAAUCAGCUGCUUUCAUGGCAGGCCAUGGCAAGAAUGAAACUUGCAGAAGACAGUGACCUUUAUGAGGAGGAUAAAUUAUAAAUCCAAAGGGCCAAGAAGACUAUCCUAAUGAGUGAGGAAAAAGAAUGUUCCAGAAGACAUUGAAAAGCCUAGACUCUGCUGCUCAAAGACUUCCAAAUGGUGCCCAAAGGAGUCUGGCUUGUCAUGGGGAAAUGAGUGACUGUCAAUAAAGCCUCCUGUUCCAGAAAGGGCAACUGGUAUACAAGAUGGUGCUGUUCAAAGCCAUCAUAAUUACAACCUCCACAUGCUUUUUGAACAGGACCCAUAAGUCCAAGAUGGCAGGCCUGUUUUAUAUGGGGGAGCACCACCGCAUCCAUAGCCAAAGAUGGAACACUUUUGGAAUCUGUGGGAUCCUGAAUCCACAAGCUCAUCAGUUUGACAAGGUUGAAUCUAAAUCUGGGCCUUAACAGUUCCACACACCAGAAGAGAGCCUCAAUAUCAUCUCCUGUGCAGCUCAGCCUGAAGAUACAGAUGUGGACUUCAUCAGCAUAUUGGUGAUACCUCAACCUAUUGUGGACAAUGACCUCCCCAGAGGCCUCAUGUAGUAUGGGAGGGAGGCUGCAGCCUGUGGCAGCCCACAAACCCAUUGCCUAAAUUUCUCCCUCUCUCUAGAACUGGAACUGCCCAUUUAGAAACAAGGAAGAUCACUGCAAACUAAGAUUCCCCACUCCCAAUCCUUGCAGAUAGUCCAGAAGGAAACCAGAUUACAGAUGGAUGUCUAUUUCAUUGGCUACUUUAUUGAAAGAUACCUGGAAACCAAUCUAUUAAAAUGGGUUCAUUCUAUAUCAUUUUUCUAAUAGCACUCAAAAUAAUUAGUUAUAGGUAGGCAUUGGGGAUACAUUUCAUAUUUGAAGAGGGGGGGGGGUGUCGCAAAGUAACUGGGGAUUUGCAGUAUCCUUGGCUGGAGCCAGAACUUUCCAUUUGUUGUUUUUUUAAUGGUGUGGGUUUAAGUUUUGUGUUUGUUACCCCAAAGGCUGGUAUAAAUUUUUGU